rnacentral:rRNA from 1 species
AGAUUGAACGCUGGCGGCAUGCCUUACACAUGCAAGUCGAACGGCAGCACGGGUGCUUGCACCUGGUGGCGAGUGGCGAACGGGUGAGUAAUACAUCGGAACAUGUCCUGUAGUGGGGGAUAGCCCGGCGAAAGCCGGAUUAAUACCGCAUACGAUCUACGGAUGAAAGCGGGGGACCUUCGGGCCUCGCGCUAUAGGGUUGGCCGAUGGCUGAUUAGCUAGUUGGUGGGGUAAAGGCCUACCAAGGCGACGAUCAGUAGCUGGUCUGAGAGGACGACCAGCCACACUGGGACUGAGACACGGCCCAGACUCCUACGG